UACGUAGGGUGCAAGCGUUGUCCGGAAUUAUUGGGCGUAAAGAGCUCGUAGGCGGUUUGUCGCGUCUGCUGUGAAAACCGGAGGCUCAACCUCCGGCCUGCAGUGGGUACGGGCAGACUAGAGUGCGGUAGGGGAGAUUGGAAUUCCUGGUGUAGCGGUGGAAUGCGCAGAUAUCAGGAGGAACACCGAUGGCGAAGGCAGAUCUCUGGGCCGUAACUGACGCUGAGGAGCGAAAAGCAUGGGGAGCGAACAGG
rnacentral:rRNA from 1 species